rnacentral:rRNA from 1 species
CAGUCGCCGCGGUAAGACAGAGGAUGCAAGCGUUAAUCGGAAUUACUGGGCGUAAAGCGCGCGUAGGUGGUUUGUUAAGUUGGAUGUGAAAGCCCCGGGCUCAACCUGGGAACUGCAUCCAAAACUGGCAAGCUAGAGUACGGUAGAGGGUGGUGGAAUUUCCUGUGUAGCGGUGAAAUGCGUAGAUAUAGGAAGGAACACCAGUGGCGAAGGCGACCACCUGGACUGAUACUGACACUGAGGUGCGAAAGCGUGGGGAGCAAACAGGAUUAGAUACCCCUGUAGUCCCUGUCUCUUAUAC